UGCAUGGACAGCUAUCUCACAUUCAACCUUGUUUUAUUUGAGCUAGUCUAUGAGAAUUUCUCAGCGACACUAAUAAAAUCACAAGUGACCCAAGUGUCUUUAUAAACUGCGGACUUUUUGACGACCUCUGGGCUAAAGAACAAACCCACUUUCUCACCGCCAUACUGCAGGUCUUCCUUUCCAAGUUUUAGUCAAACGCAAUGGUCACCAAGAUCAGCAUGUCUGAUUGUCUCAUCUGUUUCCUGGCCGUCGUUGUACCCCUGUUGUUAUCAUCGCCGGUGGAAGCUCAGAUUGUUCGUCCUCCAGCUACUGAUUGUGCCAACGUCACAGCACCCAACGGCGGCGACUUCUGUCUCUUCUACAGGACAUGGAGGCGCUUGGCAUCAUCAACAAACUCGAUGCAUCUCUGCGCGUCUUCCCUUACGAAGUCCUGACUGCCGCCGAGACCGGAACUUGAACACCUUCCUGGGGAAGCUGGGCUACCUGCGCGUGCUCAUCAUUUUAGACGCUUUGACAGAAGAAUACUCACGAAGAUUCACUAGCUUUCUUGUUGGGGCUCUUGAUUACGAAGAUUGUCAAAAAUCCAGUUAACUUAGGUAUUCUUAAUGAGGAGCACCCUUUCUGUGUGCACGUUUAAAAAUUAAAGCCUGGAAAUUGUUUGUAUUUGUUUUUCCAAGUAAACAAUCCCACGUGAUGUUUCUUGAUAUUCUUAACUUCAGCUAAUAAAUAUUUUUAAAUGUC